rnacentral:rRNA from 1 species
CCUACGGGCGGCAGCAGUCGAGAAUCAUUCACAAUGGGGGAAACCCUGAUGGUGCGACGCCGCGUGGGGGAAUGAAGGUCUUCGGAUUGUAAACCCCUGUCAUGUGGGAGCAAAUUAAAAAGAUAGUACCACAAGAGGAAGAGACGGCUAACUCUGUGCCAGCAGCCGCGGUAAUACAGAGGUCUCAAGCGUUGUUCGGAAUCACUGGGCGUAAAGCGUGCGUAGGCUGUUUCGUAAGUCGUGUGUGAAAGGCGCGGGCUCAACCCGCGGACGGCACAUGAUACUGCGAGACUAGAGUAAGGGAGAGGGAACCGGAAUUCUCGGUGUAGCAGUGAAAUGCGUAGAUAUCGGGAGGAACACUCGUGGCGAAGGCGGGUUCCUGGACAUUAACUGACGCUGAGGCACGAAGGCCAGGGGAGCGAAAGGGAUUAGAUACCCCAGUAGUC